rnacentral:misc_RNA from 1 species
ACCGAAAAGGAGACCUACAUUGGAGGAGAUCGAUGCCUUAGAGGAGGUCCGCCUUGCAAUUGAGUACAUCGUCAUACCUGGUGGUGAGGCUGUUGAGCUUCUCCCAAGGCGCUCUGAGAUAGUUGCCCAACAACUCAAGUUGGUUGAGAGUUAUCAGUUGGCUGCAGAAAAUUCAGGUACCGAAUCAAACCCGAGACUGCAAAUCCUUCCACAGAAACUAUACAGGAAGACUUCUGUAAAGACCUUGAGAUCCAGUUCAAGUCGGAACAGCACAGGUUCCG